rnacentral:rRNA from 1 species
GACGAACGCUGGCGGCGUGCUUAACACAUGCAAGUCGAGCGGGGUCCAUCCAGUAGCAAUACUGGUGAAGACCUAGCGGCGAACGGGUGAGUAACACGUGAGCAACCUGCCCCGAAGUCUGGGAUAACACCGGGAAGCCGGUGCUAAUACCGGAUGUCCUCAUCGAGUCACCUGGCUUGAUGGAAGGAAAGUAUUUAUCCGCCGUCGGGGAGGGGCUCGGCGGCCUAUCAGUCUGGUUGGGUGGGGGUAACCGGCCCACCAAGGCUUCGACGGGUAGCUGGUCUGAGAGGACGACCA